AGUGGCAACUUCAUUUCUUUCUUGUAGGACAGAGGCGAAAGAGUUUAAAUUCCUUGGUAUUAUUAUAGGCUCUAAUCCUAGAAGGACUUCUUCUUGGAGACCACUUUUGGAUAAUAUUAGGAAAAUGUUGAAUUCUUGAAAAGGGAGGUGUCUUAGCUUCGGUGGGAGGAUUACACUUUUAAAAUCGGUUUUGAGUAGUUUAGCGAUCUUUACUUUAUCUUUCUUCAAAGUUCCCAAGAAGAUUAUAGCGGAGAUAAAUAAAUUGCACAGUAAUUUCUUGUGGGGUGGGGGGGUACGGAGGAGAAAAUGUAAAUCUAUUGGAUAAGUUGGAAAGAAGUUUGUCUUCCGUUUGAUAAAGGAGGUCUUGGUUUUAAAAGUUUGGAAGAAUUCAAUUAUGCGCUCCUAUUGAAGUGGAAGUGGAGAAUUUUGGAAGCUUCUAAUUCUUUGUGGUACUGGAUUUUGAAGGCUGAGGUAUAAGGAUGUUAAAUUGAAGGCUUUGAUUGGAGAAAUGAAGACCAAUAAAAGGAAUAGGAGAUCCGUGUGGUGGUCGAACAUCUCUUCUUUGGAGAAACAUCUCCCGAAAGGCUUUUUCGUAAAGAAUAUCAAAUUUCGAGUUGGUCUUGGACAUUCUAUUUCUUGUUGGCAUGCUUUAUGGUUGGAUGUGGGAAUUAUUAAGGAUAUUUUUCCGGAUUUGUUUGCUUCAUCUCUGUUGUAGGAUGUCUCCAUUUCUGGUAUGGGUGGUUGGUUAAACGGGGAAUGGAUUUUGGGCGAUUUUGGCAUCCUAAACCCGGGCGUUUCGGGCACUGUUGCAGCGCUGCCUUGGUUUAUCCAGCUGCUGCCAGCGGCUGUUUUCCUUCCAGCCGAAGUGGAUUUGGCUUUGUGGUUACCGACGGCGGAUGGUUCUUUCACAAUGUCCUCUUGUUAUCGCGAAUUAUGCAAUUCGUUUAUUCCGUGUGGCCCGGCUAAUCGUUUUGAUUUUGUUUUCCCCUCUAUAUGGAAGGUCGAAGUUCCCCUUAAAGUCAGUUUUUGGUUGGAGAUGUUUCAAGGAUAAAAUUUCAACUAGAGAUUCGCUUUUGAAAAGAGAGAGUUUGCAUGUCUAGUUGAUCAAUCAUGGAGGAUGGGAAUGGGUGGCAUUCUUCGACAGGAGUCUCUAAUGCAUAGAUAAUAUCUGCUGUUGUUCCUGAAAGAUCCACGUCGUGCCACAGAAAGCAAUGUGAGUUAUAAAAGUUGUAAAAGACUCGAACAUUACUUCCAGGCCGUCCACAAGGUCCACGAAGAAGGCCUAAUAACAAGCGUUGAAGGGGAAGUCACACUGAACAUGUGAACCCUCAUCUCUCUCAAGGACACACGAUAACAUCCUCCAUCGCAUCUCUCACCGUUGAUAUAUAAUCGAACGGCCAUCCGCACAAGGUGCCGGAUCACUUGCGGACGGUUCUAACCGCCCAUACUAUAUAAAGACCAGAUCACGCCAUUUCAGUAUCGGAAGCUUGCUCCGCCACUCCAAGAUCUCAUUCUACCAUUUUCUGGUUCCUGAACAGAACACUAUUAAUUCAAGCUGGAACAGAACACUAUUAAUUCAACCAUGUACACAAACAAACCAAUAAUAAUUUUGAGAACAGUGCACAACAUUAUUUCGCAUUACAAUCAAAUCAAACCAUGAUUUGCAUUAUCAUCAUCAUGAGUCAGAGUUCUAUUUCAACUAAAUUUGUAUUGGUUAAUGAAAAAGUGUGCUGUGUCAGCUGUACUCAUGCAAAUGAACUGCAUGUGUUUGUCAUAUGCUAUAACCUGCUUCUCAGGAAA